AAUGAACGCUGGCGGCAUUCCUAACACAUGCAAGUCGAACGAAGGCUUCGGCCUUAGUGGCGCACGGGUGCGUAACGCGUGGGAAUCUGCCCUCAGGUUCGGAAUAACAGCGAGAAAUUGCUGCUAAUACCGGAUGAUAUCGCGAGAUCAAAGAUUUAUCGCCUGAGGAUGAGCCCGCGUAGGAUUAGCUAGUUGGUGGGGUAAAGGCCUACCAAGGCGACGAUCUGUAGCGGGUCUGAGAGGAUGAUCAGCCACACUGGGACUGAGACACGGCCCAGACUCCUACGGGAGGCAGCAGUGGGGAAUGUUGGACAAUGGGCGCAAGCCUGAUCCAGCAAUGCCGCGUGAGUGAUGAAGGCCUUAGGGUUGUAAAGCUCUUUUACCCGGGAUGAUAAUGACAGUACCGGGAGAAUAAGCUCCGGCUAACUCCGUGCCAGCCGCCGCGGUAA
rnacentral:rRNA from 1 species